GGUGUUAAAUUUGAGAGGGAUUUGAAGGAGGGUUCCAAGAGCAAUAAGCGUGCUGGGUCUGGAAAGGAAUCAAGUAAAGGUUCGAGUAGUAGCGGUAGCGGUAGUAGUAGUAGUUCAGAUGGCGAGUCUCGCGUUGUUGACAGGAGAAGGAAGGAGAAGGGCGAUGCUUCAGAGGAAAAACCUGCUAGUGUUUCAGAGGGAAAACCUGCUCGUGUUUCAGAGGAAAAACCUGCUAGUGUUUCAGAAGGUAAACCUGCUAGUGUUUCAGACGGAAAACCAACUCAUGUUUCAAAAGAAAAACCUGCUGGUGUGUCAGAGGGAAAACCAGCUCGUGUUUCAGAGGAAAAACCUGCUAGUGUUUCGGAGGAAAAACCUGCUAGUGAUUUAGUUAAGUCAGUUGAUUCUUUACUAGCAGAAGUGACUCACUCUGCUGGAGAUGCACCGGCUGAGAAGACUACGAGUUUAGAUGCAGAAAAGACCCAUUCACUUCAUUCUGAUAAGCCUGUAGCUUCUGUUCCUGGGAUGACUGUGCACCUUACAGAAACUACUCAAGUUGACGGUCUAGUGAUCUCUGGUACAGUGGUAAAACCGGCUGUGGAGAGUGGUACAGAGAAAUUGUUGCCUACUGGGGAUCCAGAAAGUUUGACAGAUUCUCUGCCAGAGAAAAUCGAGAGUAUGGUGACUCCCAUGCCAAUUGAGAAUGGUAAGGCAUCUCCGAGUAUGGCGGAAUCUGUAUCUAAAGAAAAUGGGAGUAAAGUGUUGCCAUCCUUAGUUGUUUCUGUCGCUCAAACUAGUAAUGAUGCUGGAUCCAUUAAAGAUUCCGAAAUUCCAGAGUAUUCUGAAAGCCAGGUACAGAUUGCACUUUAUUAUAUUAUGCCUUUUACGUCAACAGUUGAAUGCAACUUUCUUCCUUUAACUUUAUGCAGCCGCUAGUAGCUCCUGCCCCACGAGUGGUAGAAAAAACUUCUUGGUUUGGUUGCUGCGGAAUUCUGGACGUGAUAACAGGCUCUAGGAGAUAACUUCAGGUUAGAAAUUUGUAUCAACUUCACAACUUUAAAUAGAGUUGUCUACCUGUUACUUAUUUAUUUAUUGUUUUUAAUAUUUCUCUAUAGUACUUAGAUCUGUGGAUGCUCUGUUGUCUGUCUAUGUGUAUAUGGGGAAACCUAGGAAGUGAAAAGUGGUUAAGAUGUCUCAGAAAUGCCAUAGUUGUCCAAAUUCCAGGUUAAUAAUGAUUCAGGUAUGUUGCAUUUGUGAACUUUUCCAUCUGAGGUUUCAUAGGUGUUGAUUUGCUUGCAAGAGAGUUGGUUGUUUAUGUGUUAAGUUUACUCU
rnacentral:lncRNA from 1 species